GUUGUUAAUAUCACCAAUGAAGAAUAUCGAUGAGCGAGUUCGAACCACGAGUUGCUACGGUUUUUGAAGAUCGCUAUUAUCGAUAUGGCAAGAUACGUUCACUUUUAAAUACUCAUCUAUUUCCAUGACACUGAUAAGACAUUACUGAUAACAUAGAUACCUAUGUAUAGAUACUAUCGCCAACGUCUUCAUUUUGUUUUUUUCUUUUUGUGUUACAACGAUCUGACAGUAUCCUCGCAUCGGUGUAAUCGUAAAAAUGAUGUAUCCGCGUCAAUGCAUCGGUAUAAUCUUUCUGUGUUUCUCGAUACUCGUCGCUCGCUCUUGCUGAAAUUCGCAAUCAAAGAUGGUGGAAAGAUACUGUGUUCUAUCAAAUCUAUCCUCAAAGUUUCAUGGACAGCGACACAAUGGCAUUUUCAGUCUCAAAGAUAAUUCUCGAUCUCGCUCUUGAUCAUAGACCAAUACGAAAGGUUUAAUAAAAUUUUAGAAAGUGUUAGUAUGUCUGGAAGAAAAUACAAAGAUUACUACAUAUGGGCGGAUCCUGUCAAUGAAACUGACCUAGUGAAACUGAAGUGACCAUCAAAUAUUUGGCUCGAUGUAUUUGGGAAUCCAGGUUGGAGUUAUUAUCCAUGUCGAAAGUAAUUCUAUUUUCAUCGAUUUCUUCAAGAACAGCCAGAUCCGAAUUACAAAAAUCGUGUAGUGAUAUUCGAAUUGCAGCAAAUAAUAAAAUAUUGGCUACAUAAAGAUGUAGAUGGAUUUUGUAUUACAUCAUCUUUUUGAAAUAAGCAACAUUACCUUGGACGAGCCAAAGAACAAUACUAUUAAUCUGUCGAAGAAUGAGUAUGUUUAUUUAUAGAAUAUUUAUAUGAAAGAUCAAGACGAAUAUGUUUUAAUAAAAAAACAUCGUGGAUUCUUACGCAAAGAUAUAAUAAAUAACGAAGAAAAAAUAUGUGAAUAUAUAGGUACAUGUAUCUUCUUGUAAUUACAUUGAUUAAUUGUAAUUACAUAGAUGAAUUUGUGGUUGAAAAAAUCAAAUCAUUAUUUCAUUAUUUUCAUGAUAGAUGAUGAUAACAAAGACAUAUACGAUAUUAGAAAAUACUACGAAAUUUUAUAGAUACCAAUCACAUAUAUCCUUUAAUUUUAAAUUCAUUAUGAAUCUAAUCAAAUGCUACUAAUUUCAAAAAUAUGAUAGACACAUGGAUCCAAACUAUGCCAAUAAAAAAUAUACCUGUUUGUUUGGCGAAUCAAAAACUAUUUUCAUUAAUUGACCGAUUAUUUCUUGAAACAAAACUUAUCACGGAGGAGAAAUUGGUAUGAUGAAUAAUCAAAACAUAAUAUUUAAAUAGAUGCAAGGUGCACAAGUUUGUAAGCUUAUAGUGCCACUGAAAAAAAAUAUCAAAGUAAAUCUUAUCUUAUCCAUGUAGAACACCAUUUCUGUGCAAUAAUGCAACCUAUGCAGAAUUUCAACAGAACCUUGCUAACCAGUUAAUGAAAAUUAUGAAAUACUAAAUUUGGAACAGCAGAAAAAAGAUACUAACUCAUAUUACAAGAUUUACACUGCACCAACAACUGCACUAACGAGGUUACGAAGUUCAACGAGUGCACUCAAAAAUGGAUAAUAUCAGUUACUUUAAAAAUAAUAAUCUUUUGGUAAUUAGACGGUAUAACGAAGAUGAGUUAGUAAGAGUUCUUAUAGAUUUUUCAAACAAUAAAUCGCAAUCGAUCAAUCUCACUGACAUGUCAGAAAGGAUUCCAGUUAUAACAACAACGAAAAUUGCAAAUGUUGAUGUCGAAAAUAGAAGUUAAUAAAGGACAAGAUGGAUAUAUUGUGGUCGUUCCAAAGAAAACUCCGAUAAUCCUUCAUUCGACGUAUCAACUUUUCAAUGGUUCCAAGAAAUAUACUAACUAUCUUCUAACAAUAUAACUAUCUUCUACUGAUAAUACUGAUCAUUAUAGUAUUAAAGUUAUAAGAAAUAAUAAACUAGUACUAUCAAUGUU